CGUGAAAUGUGAAGCAGCUGAGGAAACAAACUCUCUCAUUUUCCACAGUAUUUUUACAACAACACAUCAUACAACAAAGGAUAUGAUAUGUUUAUCUCUAGAUGCUUUCCUGAAUCUAGAAUGCUGCGUGGAGCUGUAGACAACUCACUAAUACCAGACAGCUGCCAGAAGGGAAGGAAUUCAAUGAGGAGAAGCAAAGAUUAUCUUCCCAGAGGAAGAGCCUACAAGUGCAGAAGAGAAUCUCCAGUAAACUGAGAAGACGUUGGGGUGUGGGGAAAUAAGAUAAGUUGCUCUGGUCCUAGCCUCUUAAGCCAGUGCAAACUAAACGAGGAAGUGGGAAAUAUACAUCCCCAUUUUCUACAGAGAAUGCUUGUAAGAAGUUGAUGUACAUUGACCUUUCACAGCACCUCAUAUUGCACAUUUGCUAGGCAGUCACCUAUACAUGCAGUUUGAGCAUACAGAUUAACAGUUCACCUCCUUCCAUGUUUCAGAGCCACAAGUACAUUAAUAAAGGAG
rnacentral:lncRNA from 1 species